GACAACUCUAGAGAUAGAGCCUUCCCCUUCGGGGGACAAAGUGACAGGUGGUGCAUGGUUGUCGUCAGCUCGUGUCGUGAGAUGUUGGGUUAAGUCCCGCAACGAGCGCAACCCUUAAGCUUAGUUGCCAUCAUUAAGUUGGGCACUCUAAGUUGACUGCCGGUGACAAACCGGAGGAAGGUGGGGAUGACGUCAAAUCAUCAUGCCCCUUAUGAUUUGGGCUACACACGUGCUACAAUGGACAAUACAAAGGGCAGCGAAACCGCGAGGUCAAGCAAAUCCCAUAAAGUUGUUCUCAGUUCGGAUUGUAGUCUGCAACUCGACUACAUGAAGCUGGAAUCGCUAGUAAUCGUAGAUCAGCAUGCUACGGUGAAUACGUUCCCGGGUCUUGUACACACCGCCCGUCACACCACGAGAGUUUGUAACACCCGAAGCCGGUGGAGUAACCUUUUAGGAGCUAGCCGUCGAAGGUGGGACAAAUGAUUGGGGUGAAGUCGUAACAAGGUAGCCGUAUCGGAAGGUGCGGCUGGAUCACCUCCUUUCUAAGGA
rnacentral:rRNA from 1 species